AUACGUAGGGGAGCAAGCGUUGUCCGGAAUUACUGGGUGUAAAGGGAGCGUAGGCGGAAUGGAAAGUUGAAUGUUAAAUACACCGGCUCAACCGGUGACCGCGUUCAAAACUUCCGUUCUUGAGUGAAGUAGAGGCAGGCGGAAUUCCUAGUGUAGCGGUGAAAUGCGUAGAGAUUAGGAAGAACACCAGUGGCGAAGGCGAUUCUCUGGACUGUAACUGACGCUGAGGCUCGAAAGCGUGGGGAGC
rnacentral:rRNA from 1 species